ensembl:lncRNA
AAAUGAAAAAGCCACAGAAUGAACCAAAUCACACGAGCAAAACAAGAGAAAGUCUCAUUUUAGUUGAAUCCACAAUCCAAAAGUUCAAAUCACUGCCAGAAGAUGAAAUAAAAGUCAUUUAAAACCACUGAAAACCACAAUUAUGUUUAUUAUUAAAAAGAUCUAUAACUAUGGAGUCAUUUGACUUUGUUUAAGUUCAGGGCGCAGUCACUAAAACUGUCACAGGUUUGACGCCUCAUUUUCACUGCAGAGGGCGCAUGUUUGAGUGCGCAUGCGCCUGACGACGCCCUUUCAUUUUUUAUUAUUAUUUCUUUUUCCUUCAACGAGAAAUAAUUCCUCAAAACAAGACUUGAUCAAACACAGAUGUAGAGGCUGAAUCCACUUGGACAACACGUGUCUGGACAGAUCCUCUGCUGUAGUUUCUCCUUUUACGUAUCACGUGAUUUCCCCGAAACCAUCGUCUGAUUUUAAGUUCGUGUUGUGUCAAAACGUGGAACUGAUGAUGUUUUAGCUCAGAUUUGGCAGUUUUACGCUGAUAUUACAUUGUACAGAUGGAAAAUUACACAUUCUGUCAUAAAGAAUAAACAAUAAACAGGAAAUAAACGAACAAACUGAGGUAUAAACUAAAUAAAGCCAGGACUAAACCAGGACUAAACCAGGACUAAACCAGGACUAAACCAGGUCUAAACCAGGACUAAACCAGGACUAA